AUGAAAACAUCAGAAGUAACAACAACUCUUACUAGGUACAGCCCCACGGGAGGGUUCCUCUCCCCACUGCAAAGCAGCAGUCACUCAGCAGCAGACCUCAGGCGUUCUCGGGCUCCACAAGACAAAGCCCCGGGACCGAUUCUCCCCGGGCAUACGGCCAUGCAAGUAGCCCGUUUCAGGCACCCAAGGGGGGGACACUUCCCGCCCAGCCCUCCGGCACCGGCACCUCCUCUUCCCCAGCAGCCCAGCCCAGUCCAGCCCGGCCCCGCCGCCUCCCCGCACAGGACGGACCCGCUAACACCCGGCCUCAGGGCUCGGCGCUCCGGACCCAGCCGCGUCGCCCGCCCCUCCACCACCGGUACCUGCGGCCUCCUCCCGGUUCGGCCCACCCGCCAGGCCCCUCCGGCCCACCCGCCAGGCCCCUCCGGCAUCCGCCUCCCGCCGGAAGCGCUGCCCGUCGCUGGGGAAACGCCGCCCCGCUUUCCGUGGGACGCCGUCCGGCCGCGCCCGUCGCCGCCUCGCACCGUUCCGGUGACAUGGAGGGCCGUGGGCCCGGCCUCGCACCCUUUGUGCCUCCUGUCUGCGCGGCGCUGCUGGGUCUGCCGCCCGGGCCGGCGCUGGCGGGACGGCGGGGCGCGGGGUGCGUGGGCCGAGCGCUGCCGGCCGAGAGCCGCUGCUGGCGGAGGCGAUUCCUACUUCUCCAGGGCAGGGCCUGAUGAAACCAGAGUCCUUGACGUCCCGUUGAAGCUAGGAGGCCGGCCGCCAAACACUUCCAUAGGCUGCCAGGAGAGGAAAGCAUUUCUCCCAGACAUGAGCUGUGGCAAGCCGAAGUGCCAAGGACCGAGAAUGAGCACCUCGAGGCCAUCUCAAACAUCAAAGCCAACGGCAGGCACAGGGAAGAACUGGACAGGGGUGUGGGUCAUGGAUCCACAGCACAAAAAGUGGAGAUGGGGCAAAAAGAGGCGCACAUUCAGGAGACCUGGAUCUGUCAUUAUCCUCAAGUGGGGUUCAACUUGGUGCUUGCAUGGGCAUGUGGGCCAGUGAUGCCAGAACAGCUGGGCAGGAACCCCGGCAGCCCAGUCCUGAAGAGCAAAAUGUAGUUACUUGCAGGAAAGAAAGAUAGCAACGCUUCCAAAGUCUCUAAAUUGGCAUCCCCAGAGCGUGGAAAGAAGGCCCACUGGAGGAGCCUGUGGAACAGGAGAGCUGUAGCGAGCUGGCAGAAGGUCCUUCUGGCAGCCCAAGCCCACUCCCAGAAGCUCUGUCCUAGAAGGAGGAGGUGGUCAAGCGCACGUACCACUGCGGGGAGUGUGGCAAAGCCUUCCUGCAGCUCUGCCACCUCAAGAAGCACCGCUUUGUCCAUACUGGCCACAAGCCCUUCCUGUGCCCAGAGUGUGGGAAGAGCUACAGCUCAGAGGAGAGCUUCAAGGACCAUCUGUUGGCCCACCAGGGUGUGCGGCCUUUCCAGUGCACCCAGUGUGACAAGGCUUACUGCACAAAGUGAGACCUGCAGGAGCACCAGGUCCUGCACUCCAGCCAGCGCCCCUUCUCCUGUGAGCAGUGUGGCAAGGCUUUUGCACACCAGCCCUCUCUGUGCAUUCACAAGAAGAUCCACAUGGCCGCUGGGACUGGCCCAGUUGAUCCCAACCAAUGCCAGUGUGCCAUUUGCAGAUGCCGCCUGGCCAACCCUGGUUCUUUGCGCAACCACAUGCGUCUGCACACAGGCGAGUGGCCGUACACCUGUCCCUAUAGCAGCAAGGACUUCCAACAGCAGAGCAACCUGUGUGAGCACCUCCGGCUGCACACAGGCGAGAAGCCAUUUCUGCAAGUGCCAUUUCUGCAAGUGCCAUUUCUGCGGCAACGCCUUCCCCAAACUGCCAGAGCUGCGGUGCCAUCUCAUCUCCCCCUUGGGCGAGGCCCACCUGAGCACAGUGUGUGGCAAGGCACUGUGAGACCCCCACAUGCUGCGUGCCCAUGAGCGCCUGCAUGCAGGCGAGCACCCUUCCCCUGUGAGCAGUGUGGCAAGUACUACACCCUGGAAGCUGUGGCGCCACCAGCAAUGCCACCUAGCUGACAAGCCCUACAAAAUGUGAGCUGUGUGGCAUGGGCUACACCCUUCCACAGAGUCUUGCACCCCACAUGCUCACCCACCAGGCAGAAAAAGAUCCUGAGGAAAUGAGUGCUGCAGAGGUGUCGCUUGCUGUGGACCUACCCCAGCCUCAGAGGAAGAGCCCCUCCCACUAGGAGGCUGUGGUAGAGCCCACCCACCUUGCUUAUGCUGGAGGUGGCAGGGCCAGAAAAUAAGACACAGUUGCUGAUCACAGCCAGUGGUCACUGCAUUGCUGCUUACCAGCCUCAAGGCAGCCUGCCAGGUCCUAGAAGGAGAGCUGCUGGGCUGCCAUCAACAAAAGACAUAAUUGAAAUCAGCAUCUCCAAGCAUGAGGACAAGCGCAUUAUUGUGCAGGACAAGGGUUCACCGAGUGACGUGAUCAUCAUCCAUUCAGAGCAGUGGCAGAAGUGGAAGUUGAGACUGGAGUGUAACUACCUCAGCUGAACCUGGCUGUUCUUCUGUACAGAAUAUUAAAAUGGGGUAAAAAGAAAAAACAAACAAAACAAAAAAUGAGAUCUGUAGUGUCUCUGUGGCAACAAGGCUCUGUGGCUCAGCCCCCAGCAGAAUUAGCAGCCUCAGAGGUAACUGCUGGUGUAGACCUGGGUCUUUUUGCUAGCUGCUCUGUGGAACUGUGAGCCUACGUGUUGUCUUUUGGGUCUGGUGCAGGGAAUGUUGAUAGGAAUAACUUCUUAGAGAGGAAAGUGGAGUUUCAAUGAGCAGUGCCCUUCCUCUGCCUGUUAAAGUGCCAGUGGGUGACCGUGCACCAUAGGGGAGAAGUCUAAAAGCAGCCCUAAACAAUUCCUUCCUUUCAGUGUUUUCCUUCUUACUAUCUGCAAGCACUUUUCUGGGCUAUUACUCAGGAGGCCAGAAGCACUUCUGACCAUUUGAAGGUGACACUAGUGGGAUACACUGCAGGGAAGCAGCUUCCCAAGUGUUUUUUUAAAAGCAUUUUUCACAAUUAGCAGAAGCAAAGUUCUGCUUUGUAGCUGGGGUUGAGUGUUGUUUUUCCGCUUUUGCCUGGUUUGUUUGCUGUCACCUUCCUGGCUUUUUGGUGCUGGUUGGUCUGUCUGAGAACAUUAAAAGUUGCUUUCAUUUCUUACACUACUCGUAGCAUUGUACAGUGAAUCCUCACUGUCCCCAGCUGAGAAGCUCCUUACCUGUCCAGGUAAGGACUUACAGUUCAUUUCAGUAUGCUCAGAAGAUUUUUGCCUCUCUCCUCCUUUCUCCUGAUCUUUUUUCCCAUGUUCUUGCUUCCUCUCUCCCACUUUUCUGCUCCUCCAUCAAAAAGCCUACAGAUGGCACAACCACCACUGCACCCCAGGUAUUCCCACUGCUCUAUCUUCUUUAGUGAUCGUUUGCCAUUUGAGAUGUGCUGAAUAAAAUCGAUGCCUUGUCAGGAAGAAAAUGCGCAUUUCCAAAGGCCUCAUAGGAAGAGAUCAACAAUACCGGCCCUAACAGAGUCUUUCAGACUUGCCUGCCCCACGCUUGCAUCUCAUAUGUUGCACAAACGCUGCUUUCAUUUACUGCCCUCACAGAUUUAGCCUCGAUCUCCAUUCUGCCCCUCUCCAACAGCUGCAUUUCCCCACAAGGCUUUGUUUGGAGGCCUAUGUUCUGUGGGCUUUUAAUGUCCACUGUACAACGGAAGGGCAUCACAUGAGAACCAUUGACAGCACUGCUCCCUUUUGGGUGCUACAAAGGCAGUAAUGUGGCAGUCUGAGACGUCAGAUGUUCUUUUUUUUUCUCCAUAAACUUUUAUGACCUGUUUGUAGACAAGGUGUUAGUCACAUCCACAACACCUUGAUUUGAGAUAAGGGCAGUGGGUGAAUUCAGCUAAUGAACAGUUAUAUCUACUUAUUUUCAGCUAUUUUCUUUCAAGUCAGGGGCAGAUGAGCCUGGUCUUUAUCCUGAGCUCUUGAAUACGGACCAGUGGAAGCACAGGUGUAUGAGGGAAGGCUUACAGUUGAAGCUGCAGCGCUUUCUACUGCUCUCCCUUUGCUGCCUAUCUAAGCUCUUGCAUUUUUCAAAUAUUGACACAGCUGCAAAGUGUUCUCUCUGGAGCUGAAGCAUGUGCCCUCUGUCACAGCACAACUGGGAGAGAUGGGGGAGGAGCAGAGGGAAGGGAAAGGGAAAGGCCAGGCUCCUAUUGCUUGAUCUACUGACCUGUAACACCUUUAUUUAUUCUGAAGUAAUUGGAGAGAACAACUAGGAGCAGUUAUGAAGUGGUCAUGAGAGAAACACUGUUGUAUAAAUGAUUCACCUAAUGCUUGAUCUGAGUAUGUAGGUGCAGGCCUGUGCUAUGCUGCACAUAGUGGACUAAGCCUAAGGAGCCCGUAGAUGGCUCCCCCUGGGUACCUCGUGAUGAUGCCACCACCAUGUCCCUGUCUUUGUCUUAGAAGCAGCAUGUUCUCAUGUGAACAUCCUUUUGUUUGACAAUAAAAAUGAUGAAUAGAGUUAUUCUAAGGAAAUCCUAUCAAAACCCUAAACACUGUGAUGCUGGUGGAACCUCAACAUGGAUGGGAUCUGUGCAGCAUGCCAUGGCUUGAGUGGACAUCUGGUUGAUGCUGUACAACCUGGGGUUCACAACAUCUGUAUAGAUGUAAGAUUGUCUCUUACUAUCCCUUUUCUCCCCUUUUGAGGAUAAGGAAAAGGCAGAGGUUCUGAAUCNAUCCAAGUGA
rnacentral:lncRNA from 1 species